rnacentral:rRNA from 1 species
UACGUAGGGGGCAAGCGUUGUCCGGAUUUAUUGGGCGUAAAGCGCGUGUAGGCGGCUGGGUAGGUCCGCUGUGAAAACUCGAGGCUCAACCUCGAGAGGUCGGUGGAAACCAUCCAGCUAGAGUCCGGAAGAGGAGAAUGGAAUUCCUGGUGUAGCGGUGAAAUGCGCAGAUAUCAGGAGGAACACCGGUGGCGAAGGCGGGUCUCUGGGCAGUAACUGACGCUGAGGAGCGAAAGCGUGGGGAGCGAACAGG